UGAUGUGAGGAGGGGCGUUGGGAAGGGGGUUAUUGGGAGCCCUAACCGAGGGUCACGGAGGAUCGUGUGGAGGUGGGGAUGUUUUUGCCCUUAGACUGGCCUGCGACGUGACUAACCGGACCAUGUGACCUUGGGAAGUUGACAGAGUCCUCUGAGCUUUUGUCAGUGAACUGAAGAUAAGAAAACACCCUCUUUGCCAAGUUAUUGUGAGGCUCUGUGAGGACCUGUGUGAAGUCCCUUACCCCCUGUUCCUGGCUUUCAAUUGCUGCUGUAUUUUACUGGACGGUCUCCAGAGCUGGGGCUCAGUUCCAGCUUCCCCACCUGUUGCCAGAUGUGGGAUGCAGAGGCAUUUGCAGUUGUUUCUAACACCUGGCUUCUUUAUCUAUCCCACAAAGAACCUUUGUCCACCUCUACCUUUCCCACAGCCCUGUGUACCAAGCAGCCUCUGCCUCAUCUUACAGGAUCCAGGGAGUUGCCCACUGAUGGUUUUUACCCAGGCCCGAAACAGCCAGCACCAGAGAGCCACCUGAACAGAAGCGCCUGCCAAAGCAAUUUUCCAAGUGCUCAAAAGCCGGGCUUUGCAGCUCCUGUGGUCAGCGCAGGAGGCCACCGGUGGGAUUUGAGGAUCAGCUCCACCUCGGACCAUGCAGGGCCAGAGCCUGCCCCUUCGUGUAGCCACCCUGCUGACGGGGCUGCUGGAAUGCCUCGGCUUUGCGGGCGUCCUCUUCGGCUGGGCUUCCCUGGUGUUUGUCUUCAAAACAGAGCAUUACUUUGAGGAGCUGUGUGAACCGAAUGCCAGGCUGAUGGGCAAUGCCACGGGGCUGGAUGCCCAGGACGAGCGCUUCUCACUCAUCUUCACCCUGGCAUCCUUCAUGAACAACUUCAUGACAUUCCCCGCUGGCUACAUCUUUGACCGUUUCAAGACUACCGUGGCCCGCCUCAUAGCCAUAUUUCUCUACACCAGUGCCACGCUUACGAUAGCCUUCAUCUCUGCAGACUCAGCUGUGCUGCUCUUCCUGGCCAUGCCCAUGCUCACCGUAGGAGGAAUCCUGUUUCUGAUCACCAACCUGCAGAUCGGGAACCUAUUUGGCAAACACCGUUCAACCAUCAUCACCAUGUACAACGGAGCAUUUGACUCUUCCUCGGCAGUCUUCCUUAUCAUUAAGCUCCUUUAUGAACAGGGCAUCAGUCUCAGGGCCUCCUUCAUCUUCAUCUCUGUCUGCAGUGCCUGGCAUGUUGGGCGUACUUUCCUUCUGAUGCCCAGGGGACACAUCCCCUACCCACUGCCCCCCAACUACAGCUAUGGCCUGUGCUCUGGGGAUGGCCCCAGAGAGGAAGAGAAGAAAACGGCUGAGUCCCAAAAGCUGGAGCUUUCAGAGAAGUUCCUUUCACCCAAGGAAGAGAUCCCGAGACCAGGGCAGCAGCAGCAGGAAGCCCGCUCUUUCUGGAGCUACGCCUUCUCUCGGCGCUUUGCCUGGCACCUGGUGUGGCUGUCUGUGAUACAGCUGUGGCACUACCUCUUCAUCGGCACCCUCAACUCUCUGCUGAGCAACUUGGCCAGUGGGGACAGGGUGCUAGUCAGCACGUACACAAAUGCCUUUGCCAUCACUCAGUUCUUUGGAGUGCUGUGUGCCCCCUGGAAUGGGCUGCUCAUGGAUCGGCUGAAACGCAAGUACCAGGAGGAAGCAAGAAGGACAGGUUCCUCGGCCUCGGCGGCGGCCCUGCGCUCAACAGUGCCUUCGCUGGUCCUGACGUCUGUGCUGUGCCUGGGCUUUGCCCUCUGCGCCUCCAUCCCUGUCCUCCCCCUGCAGUACGCCACCUUCACCCUGCAAGUGAUCAACCGCUCCUUCCUCUACGGGGGCAAUGCUGCCUUCCUCACCCUCGCGUACGUAGGUUCCCUUCAGAGCACUUUGGGAAGCUUUUUGGGCUAUUGAUGGCCUUGUCAGCUGUCGUGUCUCUGCUCCAGUUCCCAAUCUUCACCCUCAUCAAAGGUCCCCUCCAGAGUGACCCGUUCUACUAGUCAAUGCAGAAAAUCUGUGAGCAGAGAACUGUCCAUCACCAGGGAUAAGGCUGUGUAUUCCUUCUGGAGCCAGGGCCCAGAGGUGGCUGGGGCCCAGGAAGGAGCGUGGACAGACAGCCCUGGGUCUCGUGUCCUUGAACCGGUAGUAGCCUCUCCCUUCAGGACUUUGCACCCUACCUGGCACAGAAUGGAGGUUCAAGAAAUACUGAAUGUAAGAGAGAGACAGGGACUUCCCUGGUGGUACAGUGGUUAAAAUCCACCUGCCAGUGCAGG